GAUGAACGCUGGCGGCGUGCCUAAUACAUGCAAGUCGAGCGAACGGACGAGAAGCUUGCUUCUCUGAUGUUAGCGGCGGACGGGUGAGUAACACGUGGAUAACCUACCUAUAAGACUGGGAUAACUUCGGGAAACCGGAGCUAAUACCGGAUGAUAUUUUGAACCGCAUGGUUCAAAAGUGAAAGACGGUCUUGCUGUCACUUAUAGAUGGAUCCGCGCUGCAUUAGCUAGUUGGUAAGGUAACGGCUUACCAAGGCAACGAUGCAUAGCCGACCUGAGAGGGUGAUCGGCCACACUGGAACUGAGACACGGUCCAGACUCCUACGGGGGGCAGCAGUAGGGAAUCUUCCGCAAUGGGCGAAAGCCUGACGGAGCAACGCCGCGUGAGUGAUGAAGGUCUUCGGAUCGUAAAACUCUGUUAUUAGGGAAGAACAGAUGUGUAAGUAACUGUGCACAUCUUGACGGUACCUAAUCAGAAAGCCACGGCUAACUACGUG
rnacentral:rRNA from 1 species